GGUUGACACGCAUGCUCAUUUACGUGAGACCGACUUCAUCCUGGGAAUCUUUUCGGCGGGACCUUAGUAGUCUAGUAAUAAACCUGGACUUGAUGUACUAUCUACUGAACUAGGAUAUUGUGCUGUGUAUUUUGCAUUAAGGAGGAUCCAUCAGCUCACUAACACGGGUGAUGGACAGGGACCAAAGAGGAGGCUCUACAACAUGAGGACAGACUGCGAUCCUCAAGCAGUCAGUCCAUGAGCCCACGUCUUCAGGCCAGGGACCCGAGAGGAAUUUCCAGUGACAUGGAUCAACAGAGAUCCUCAAACAGUCAGUCCAUGUGCCACGUUCCAGCCAGGGACCAAAAGGGGGGCUUUCGUCAUGGGGCCAGACAGACAUCCUCAAGCAAGAAAUAGAGAGAUGCAUCCAGGCCACCCACUAGGAGGUGGAACAUCUUACGAAGAGGUGGCUGUACCUGGCGGCAGACUGAGAUGGGGUGAGGAAGAGGAGAAGCACAGACCAAGAACGGAAUGUCAGACAUUUGCCCUUUUUAUGCCCAGCGCACGCACGCACACACACACACACACACACACACACACACACACCGGCAUAUAAACAUGCAUAUAGACACAGGCGCACGUGCACACACAUACACGCACUCUCAAACAAGAUGGGAGUCUCUGGUGAUGUUGGCAAAUAAUCUGAAUCGGUACACACUGCAAUGAUUCCACCAUCAUGCCCCACCUACGCGAGUCCUGUCCUUCAGCAUUGACUUACUCCCCAGGUGUGGUGUGCCUUCAUCCGAACCACAAUGGCAUCCCAAGCAGCAACAAACACCUGCACACAUGCAUGCUACAGUACACACACAAACACACUGGACUGUGAACUAGGUCAGACACACACACACACACGCUCAAAGUAGCCAAGAUCGAAAAGGCUGCAUCGGUGGCUUGACUUCAUCCAUUUUUUGGAGGAACACCUUUGUCAAUUUUGAGGAACUUUGUUGUGGGAAGAUAUUUUAAAAUUUGAUAGUCAGUCUUGUAUACCCAUUCGCUUCACUAUGAUGUAUUUUGUAAUUGAAUAUGGAUGAUUUAUGCCACAGUGCUGAAUUAACACAUCUUGACAAAGAUGUCACCUUAAAAAGUAUGUUUGGUACCUGUGGGUCAAAUGUCUCAGGAGCUCCCUGACUGCAGAACGUCUCAGGAAAUUACUCAACUUUUUAUAUUGUAUGCAGGGUGCGAUUUGUCAGAAAACCAGAAGGGGGAUGUGUUUCAGAUGUCAAGCAAUA